CAUGAUGUGGGAAGAAGGAACAAUCUAAAACUUUCCACCUAUCAUCUCAACUUCACAAUGAUCUGAAUGGACGCUACUUUUGAGCAACCUUGAAAGUCCUAUUAAUAUUUUAAAAGUCUUAAGAAUUAAUGAAUUCUCUUAUGGACAACAUCUAUCAGAUCAAAGAUGAAAAUCCUUCAGGCCUAAUUGACAGCAAGUCUUUAUAUCUUCAUUUGUUCCCAUUAGAAGUCCUUGUGCCCUUGAAUAAACAGUUUUAGCUGAAGAUAAGUGAAAUAAGUCUCAGUCUGUCU
rnacentral:lncRNA from 1 species